CUAAAAUUAAUAAUAGAAAACUUAUCAAUUUGUUUUGUAUCUUAGUUUACUGAGGAUAAGCUCAGUAAAAUAAUAAAAUAGUAUACACCUCAUUUAGCUAACUAUAUGGGCUUGAAAUUAGCCAUUGUACUAAAGUUUGUUACAAAAUAGUUUUUGUAUAGAGAAAGAUUGAUAUACUUUUUUUACAGGGGUAACAUGAAAAAUCAUGAUAUCUUGAUUCACUUAUGCUAGGAUGAGUAUUGGUGUAUAAGAUAUAUAAACAAAAAUAGAAAAAUAUAUAAAAUAACUUUGCUCAAAACAAAAUAAGAAUAAGGAAUUCAGCAACGCUUAGCUCCGCCUGUUUAUCAAAAACAUGGCUCUUUGUUAACCAAAUAUAAAGAGUCAGACCUGCCCAGUGAAGUUUUAACGGCCGCGGUACUCUGACCGUGCAAAGGUAGCAUAAUCAUUUGCCUUAUAAUUGAAGGCUUGUAUGAAUGGUUUGACGGGAGCAUUACUGUCUUUUUCUUACCCUAUAGAACUUGACCUUUGGGUGAAGAGGCCCAGAUACAGUUGAAAGACAAAAAGACCCUGUCGAGCUUAAAAAGGAAUCAGAAUAAUUUUAUUACCCAAGAUUAAUUACUGACUAAUUUUUUUGGUUGGGGCGACCAAGGAACAAAAAAGCUUCCUCUAUUUUCUUAGCUAAUAAGCAUGGAUCCAGAAAAAGCUGAUUAAAAGAAGUAGUUACCGCAGGGAUAACAGCAUAAUCUCUCUUGAGAGACCUAAUCGAAAGAGGGGGUUGUGACCUCGAUGUUGGACUAGAAUAUCUCAAAGACGCAGAAGUCU
rnacentral:rRNA from 1 species